AGGGAAACAAGCUUGCCUAGCAUCACACAGCAGCAUAUGUUCAGCUGGGGCCACCGCCCCUUUUGGCUCAGCACAGGUGCAACGCAAAGGAGCUUUGCUUUUCCUGGGCUCAGGGAAAGUUGAAGGCAACCUGAGAAUAGGUGCUUCCUGGGGAACGGUGUUGAACCUAACCCCCUUCCUCCACUCUUUAAAAUCAGUCUUUCAGGAACUCCUGGAGGGUACCCAGAUCACACUUUGAGAAUCGCCGCUCUAAGCCAAUAUGCAGAUUAAUGGAAUGAAUAACCGUGGUGUAUUUCCCACCUAAAAGACAGGCUCUGUGCUGAAGACCGACACUGACAGCUUUCGGCCAGGAACUUAUCUUUCCCAGCAACAAAGAACAGGUGCCAGCCAUAGCAAUAGUUUCAGACCCGUGGAGUCAGCUGUGCUGUUGCCAACCUCCAUCACCUGUCCGCCUUUAUCCUGGGCUCUGUUCCUGUGGAUUUGAACAAAUAGAUGAGCGGCAUCGGAAGAAAGCUUUAGCUGCAUGUGUUUGGGUGACCACGAGAGGGCAGCACGUAAGAGACCAGUGUCGGCCCCGCUGCCUUCUUGAACACACCGGAAGCCUCCUAGGAAAACUGCAGAUUUUGUCAGACUGUGAAGUAGAAGAGUCAAAGAGCCUUCAUUGCUUCCUUUUAAAUGACCAGCCUACUAAGGAAUUUAGAAUGCCCAAGUAAGGACUGCUGGUCAGACUGGACUUCAAAAUUCCUGGAUCCUUAAGACCCAAUGCAUCAGACAAAUGUCCUGCUGGAUCCUCCCACCGUCAGCUAAGGGACAGUGCUAGCUCUCUGGUGAGGGAGAUCCGUGUGGAGGUCUCUGGCAUUCCUGGGUCAGUGGAUGGCUGGGAGAACUGCUCAGCUCCAGGUUCCAGGGCCUCUGAUCAAAGCCAACCCUGGGGGCCAGCCAGAGAUAUCGCAAACCUAAGGACUAACGUGGAAUCUACACCUGCCUUGGGAGUAAAGAACAAGCAGGGUGCUUUCCGGGAUGGCUUUGGGAUGAGAUGCCCAAGACUUAGUGCCCCUGGCAUUGCUCAGCUCUCAAGCUGACUUCCACAGCACCCCCAUGGAAGCUUCAUUGGUGCAUCUUUGGGUCUUGAAUGCAGUGCUACAAUAUUGACGAGGAAAGUCUCCUUGGAACCACAGGAAGACAAAAGUGCAGAGUGAUUUGCUGGCCUUGGCUAGGACAGGGUCCAGGGUGCAGCCAAGGGAGGGUGAUCUAAGCCAGCCAUUCUCCUAGUGUGGCUCCUGGACUAUGCGCAACAGCAUCACCUGGGAGCUUGUUAGAAACACUGGUUCUCAGUUCCCAUGCAGACGUCUUGCAUCAGAAAAUCUGGGGCUGGGGCCCAGCAAUCAGUGUCUCCAAAGGCCCUGAGAUCAUUCUAUUCAAGUUUGGGAACCAGCAACACAGCAUUUAAGUGGAAAUGUUUAUAGUUGCAAAGCCAGGUGAAGCUUGAAAUGCAUCAUAGAGGAAAUGAGGACAAGAAUGUAGAAAAAGAGUAAAAACAGAGAGGAAAAAAAUUUACAAGCCAUCAUAGAGUGAAAGAGCUUCCCCUGCUGCCUGGGGGUGUGGGAAAUGAGAGUUGCACCUGCUCACAAGUAUGACCAGCAAUUUAAUAUCUAUCUAGAGCUUUCAACCCUGCCAUGUCAAAUUUAUUUAGCUAAAAACAACUCUUGUGGUGGUGACCUUUUAUUCAGCUAAUAUUACUCCCCUCAAUGCCUCCAAAGCACACAGAGAAAUUGGAGGGCUGAUGAAAAUCUUUAAAGUCUACUAAAUACUAAAGCCUUCCCAAACACUGUGUACUUUUCAGAGAGAGUUUCUUUUUAUUGGAAUUUCAGAUUAUUGAAAGGUUAUCUGUCUCCUGUUCCUAGAGGGAUUAAAAUAAAACAAAAGCAAGAAGAACA
ensembl:lncRNA novel transcript